GUCAAUUUAAAAUGCAUCGGUACUUAGCUAAAAUUGUAGCCGACAUUUGCACGUCUCGUAUUUCAUUUUUGAUGAUAUAUUUUCAUCAGAAUCCUUUUUGACAAAUGUACAACCGCAAUAACCACCACGAAUGUGUUAGCUUUAAUCAAAAAUUAUGAGCAGUUUAACGAAAUUUUCAUAAACUGCUCAUUGUUCU